AUGCUAUUGUCACUCAGUUGCUUAUUUGGUAAUAGUGUGCUCCUCCUUCAUAUUUCAGUCUGACAGUGGAGGAGCCUUUAAAGGUUUUAAAGGUUUGGUGGUACCUUCUGGAGGAGGACGGUUUCCUGGAUUUGGUAGUGGCGCUGGAGGGAAGCCUUUGGAAGGACUGUCGAAUGGAAACAACAUAACCAGUGCCCCUCCCUUCACCAGUGCAAAGGCAGCGGCAGAGCCCAAGGUAGCCUUUGGUUCUCUUCCUGCAAAUGGCCCUACCGCCUUGGUUGAUAAAGUUUCAAAUCCCAAAACUAAUGGGGACAGUCAGCAGCCCUCCUCCUCUGGCCUUGCUUCCAGUAAAGCUUGUGUCGGAAGUGCCUAUCACAAGCAGUUGGCCGCCUUGAACUGCUCCGUGCGGGAUUGGAUAGUGAAGCACGUGAAUACAAACCCCCUCUGUGAUCUGACACCUAUCUUUAAAGACUAU
rnacentral:sRNA from 1 species